rnacentral:rRNA from 1 species
UAGAUACCCUGGUAGUCCACGCCGUAAACGGUGGGCACUAGGUGUGGGGGACUUCCACGUUCUCCGUGCCGUAGCUAACGCAUUAAGUGCCCCGCCUGGGGAGUACGGCCGCAAGGCUAAAACUCAAAGGAAUUGACGGGGGCCCGCACAAGCGGCGGAGCAUGUUCAUUAAUUCGAUGCAACGCGAAGAACCUUACCUGGGUUUGACAUAUACCCGGAAACAUCUGGAGACAGGUGCCCCGCAAGGUCG